CAUGGGUUUACACUGCUACAGAUGCUUAAUAGUAGAAAUAUUGCUCUGAAAGAAGUCUGAAGUAAUCUAAUUAGGAAGCUUGAGCCUAGGUGGAAUUAAUGGGGUUGCUAAUUGUGUCCCUGCUAAAGCCGCGGUUUUGGCUGUAUAAAUAGCACGGUGAAUGCUGCCCACAGCGGCAGUGCAGUGUGUGUGACAGACCCAAGCCUCCUGAGCAGCUCUCGCCCAAGGAGAGAAGUUUUGCGCUGCUCUUCCUCCUACCCACGUGCCUGGACCCGCCUUUCCUCCCACCUCCCCCAACGCUCAUCCAUAUAAGAGGAGCCUGAAGAAUGUUCAGGGAGGCACCUUAUCCCGAAGUCUCUUCCGUGGAAAAUAAGGAACCGUGUUUUGACUCAAGGAGUGAAAGAAGCAAGUUUAUCUCCUUAGGGCACCCAGAACUAUUGAAGGGACUGAACUGGCCUCUGAAGUCUGGUUUUAGGGAAGAGGAUCAGGACGCUCAAAGGUGAUUCAAAACCCACUCUCUUCUAUAAAAAAGAUUGAAGUUCAAGAACAAUGACCUCACUUCCUCUGAAGUCUGAGUAAGUACAUGUAAUAUUCUUUUUAAAAAAUAUUUUUCCCAGUCACAUGUAAUAACAAUUUUCGAUGUUUUU
rnacentral:lncRNA from 1 species